rnacentral:rRNA from 1 species
GAUGAACGCUAGCGGGAGGCUUAAUACAUGCAAGUCGAGCGGCAAGUUUUGAUAGCAAUAUUGGAACCUAGAGCGGCGCACGGGUGAGUAACGCGUACAUGACCUGCCCUAUACUGGGGGAUAGUCUUGGGAAACUGAGAAUAAUCCCGCAUGUGAUUAGAAUGCUGCAUGGCAAAUUAAUUAAAGCUGAGGCGGUAUAGGAUGGGUGUGCGUCUGAUUAGCUAGUUGGUAAGGUAACGGCUUACCAAGGCUACGAUGGCUAGGGGGUCUGAGAGGAUGAUCCCCCACACUGGAACUGAGACACGGUCCAGACUCCUACGGGAGGCAGCAGUGAGGAAUAUUGGUCAAUGGGGGCAACCCUGAACCAGCCAUGCCGCGUGAAGGAUGAAGGCCUUAUGGGUUGUAAACUUCUUUUAUACGGGGCGAACUGUUUCUAUGCGUAGAGACUUGACAGUACCGUACGAAUAAGCAUCGGCUAACUCCGUGCC